rnacentral:rRNA from 1 species
AUUGAACGCUGGCGGCAUGCCUUACACAUGCAAGUCGAACGGCAGCACGGGAGCAGUCCUGGUGGCGAGUGGCGAACGGGUGAGUAAUAUAUCGGAACGUGCCCAGUCGUGGGGGAUAACGCAGCGAAAGCUGUGCUAAUACCGCAUACGAUCUAAGGAUGAAAGCGGGGGAUCGCAAGACCUCGCGCGAUUGGAGCGGCCGAUAUCAGAUUAGCUAGUUGGUGGGGUAAAGGCCAACCAAGGCGACGAUCUGUAGCUGGUCUGAGAGGACGACCAGCCACACUGGAACUGAGACACGGUCCAGACUCCUACGGGAGGCAGCAGUGGGGAAUUUUGGACAAUGGGCGCAAGCCUGAUCCAGCAAUGCCGCGUGCAGGAUGAAGGCCUUCGGGUUGUAAACUGCUUUUGUACGGAACGAAACGGCCCUUUCUAAUACAGGGGGCUAAUGACGGUACCGUAAGAAUAAGCACCGGCUAACUACGUGCCAGCAGCCGCCGUAAGAC